UACACACCGCCCGUCACACCAUGGAAGUUGGCUGCACCAGAAGCCGGUAGUCUAACCGCAAGGGGGACGCCGACCACGGUGUGGUCAAUGACUGGGGUG
rnacentral:rRNA from 1 species